rnacentral:tRNA from 2 species
GCCCGGAUGGUGGAACAGGCAGACACAAAGGACUUAAAAUCCUUCGCCUCUUUGGCAUGCGGGUUCAAGUCCCGCUCCGGGUACCA